rnacentral:tRNA from 1 species
GGGAUUAUAGUUAAAUAUAACAUUUGGGUUGCAUUCAAAAAGUAUUGAUAUUAUUUCAAUUAAUCUCA